rnacentral:rRNA from 1 species
UUUCCAGACUCCUACGGGAGGCAGCAGUGAGGAAUAUUGGUCAAUGGGCGAGAGCCUGAACCAGCCAAGUCGCGUGAGGGAGUACUGCCCUAUGGGUUGUAAACCUCUUUUGUCGGGGAGCAAAAGCCGGACGUGUCCGGCUGUGAGAGUACCCGAAGAAAAGGCAUCGGCUAACUCCGUGCCAGCAGCCGCGGUAAUACGGAGGAUGCGAGCGUUAUCCGGAUUUAUUGGGUUUAAAGGGUGCGUAGGCGGGCUUUUAAGUCAGCGGCAAAAAUUCGGGGCUCAACCCCGUCCGGCCGUUGAAACUGGGGGCCUUGAGUGGGCGAGAAGAAGGCGGAAUGCGUGGUGUAGCGGUGAAAUGCAUAGAUAUCACGCAGAACUCCGAUUGCGAAGGCAGCGUACCGGCGCCCAACUGACGCUGAAGCACGAAGGCGUGGGUAUCGAACAGGAUUAGAUACCCGUGUAC